GUUUGGUGAAGUCAUAUUGCAAGUGGACUCUGAAGUUCAUGUCCUCCACAGAGUGAACCACAAUGUUGAUGAACUGCAUGCAGGCCACCUGGAAACAUAUUUCACUGCCCAUUAUUAACCUGAUGUCACACCAGAGAGACAGAUGCAGCAGUGGUAGUGUUUGUAUUAGUCGUAUCUGCAGAAGUACCUUGGGUUCCUGUUGUUGAGGCUGAGAGCAAUUUCAUUGACGGCGUGAGGAUGAGACAUCACCAUGUUGAAGCCGUACUGAUGAAGAUGAGGACACAGGUGAAGAUUAAGUUACCUGGUAGUUCAUGAUGGCUCUCAGACACAUAAUACAAACGUGAACAUCAUCUUUCUUGCACACGAGUCGUGAGUUCUUGAGAGUUCGACGACUCGGCAGCGUGUUGGAUCGAGUCACCAGAGUCGAACUACAAACAGAAACUUCACGUUAGCGCGCCUAGACCUGAACAAACUGGAUCAGCAUUACCAGAGUCCUGGAUCACCCAGUAAAUCUCUGAUGAGUUAAGCGUACAGAGAAAGGGCCCCAAGUGAAGUCAGGUGAGUGACCGUAUAACAAACUGUUGUCUGUCAUGCCCAGUCUAAUUCUCUGGUUUUCUGAUAUAUUCUAACCUAAACCCUGUCUAAUGUUCUCAAAGGGGGGCCAUCACCACAGUUUAGUGUCUUUGAAAGGGUCAAAGGGAUUGCAGUUAGCUCGUCAGUCGUGCUGUAAAGUUUCUGAAUCAUUUUGCGCAGUGUGCCAGCUAAUUAUUGUGCACAUCUCCUGGCACAGCUAUACUGUGCUGUGACAUUCAUAGAGAACCCAAACUUUAUGGAUUUUAGUCUUCAAGGAGCACAAAUACACGAGAACCACCGCUAGCUAACAUUUAGCUCAAUGAAUCUAUAAACAACUCCUGCUGGUGAUGUAGGGGUACUGUGUCAGAUCUUCCUGCUUCUUCUUCUUCAUCGCUUCUCAGAAAAGUGUGUUUCCUGGCUUUGGUCUCAUCAGGUUUGUUCCUGGCUUCUGUGCCCAUCACAUGAGGAUAAAUCGCAGGCUGGGGCCCUCAGGCCAUCUGACCUUCAUCAAACACAGGCCAGCUACAGAUGGGAGAGCAAAGUUUUACAUGUUCAGCAUAUUUUUGAGUUGGAGACAAACAUCAGGUCUUAAACUUCGGAUCCAGACAGAUUCAGACCAAGAUCCGUGUCUCCUGAGCCAGACUACAUCACAGUUUACAGAAUGAACCUGCAGAACUACAGACCUCUAGAACCAAAGACCACAAGAGAAGUGACCUGGAGAACCAGAAAUCCAAAGA